rnacentral:lncRNA from 1 species
CAUUGAUUCAACAAAACCCCUGCCACCACAGGCUACAUUCCGAGGGCCAUAUGUGAAUACUGGAUCACGCGAUAUCGGACCUGAUCCCACCAACUAUCCGAAGAAGUGAUGUAUUCUUUCCUGAUAAUUGAGACACCAUUCCUCCUCUCUUUGGGCAGACCACAAAAGUGUACAACUCUGAAAUAGUGCCGCAUAAAGAAUUACCUAGUAUUCUGUGCGUCUUUAUCAUGGUUGGGCCUUUGGACAUCUAAUUUUGCAUUUACCUUGACAAUGAAUUUUUUUCAGUAUCUCCUAUAUAAAGAAGGAUGGAUAUUGAAUACUUUCUAUAGUGUAUUCAGAUAAUAAAAAGUAAACAACUUAGUGAAAGCAGAACUCUGUAAAUAAUAUAAAUAAAAAAACCCUGUGGGAGAUAGUCUUAUGUUUGGUCAACUUUAAAUUGUUCAUGUUGCUCUGGUUGCUUAUCAUCAUCUAAUAAAAAUAUGUUAUCAUUCAUUUAUUAUCUCAUUCAAUAUCACUUGAUUCAGAACAUGUUUCUUUCUUUAACGACCGAACAUCUAAACUGUUAACAUUAUCCAUGUUUCUUUCAACACGUUGUUUUCUUUUAUUGCAUUUAAUGUUUUUAUAUGAUGUAGCCUGGUACCCUUUAUAGUGUGCAGACCUUGUCCUGCGAAGCUUCUACUGCCCUUUACUGUUUUCUAACAAAUAAUGAUCAUUUGAGGGACUAAAAGCAAUGCGCUCAUAUAUUCAACUUCUGCUGGGCAUGUAUCCUUUUAUCCAUGGUACUCAGCUAUAUAAUCUUUGUUAAAUUGCUAUUUAGAACAUGGGAAAUUCCCUUCAUCCUGUUGAAAUUGGAUUGCAUUUUUCUGUGAUUUCUUUUUUAAAAUCCAAAUGGGACCUGGAGUUGUAGUGACCUUUGCUGGAGCUAUAUUUCGCCAUGCCAUGCUUAACUAGUGGACCACAUCACAAUGAGAACUUCUUUGCCAUGUAUGUCUAUAUGCUAUGGUGGUGUUUUAGAGUCACUUGUCCUCUUCUGUUUUCUUCAUAUACUAGUUGGCAUGUACUAAGACAGGCAAAGGAUUAAAAAAUAUUGUACUUGACCUUUUAUGGUCUGCAGCAUAAAUUUGUAUUGUAUUGCCUAAAUUGAAGCAUAUAACUUCAUUUUCUAAGCAAUAGAGUUUUGCAACUAUGCCUGCAGGGACUAGUCCUGUGAGAACAAACAGAAGAAACACAGAAAAUCAGUUGGUAAAUAACGAUGCAUAAAUUCUGAAUGGAAUAACAUUAUAUUGCAUUUUCCUGCAAGCAAGCACACAAAUCCAUAGAGUUUGGUAGAGUUGAUUAUCAUCGUUUGAAUGAGCAUGCCUUCCCCUUUCCACUCUUCAUGCAGAAUUGUUUUAGCUCCAUGAAAAAAUGGCUGUGUGGCAUAAAUGACGGACAAGAUCAUGUACUGAGAGAUCUAGGAUUCAGGAAAUAUGUAGUGAUAUAGAGAUAAUUUCUGCUCUUCUUUUACUGUGUUUGUUGCAUAGGCUGUGGGGCUGCGGUUGGUUUUCUUAUUUCUCAAGCUAGAAAAUUUCUCCAUAAAAUCGCUGAAAUACGUUAGAUAAAAUAAAUCGAACCUGUUAUGCUGUAAUGAGUCUAAUAGCUACACUGAACUAGCCAGCGCUAUUAUAACUUGGCCCUACCAGAAUAAGCAGUAUCUGACUGUAGUAUUUUUUUGUCAAGAUAGAAUUUCAUUUUUUUCCCCAACAGAUUACAUAGCAAAUUCAACCUCCAAAACAAAUGGAGCUCACCUCAGUCCCACCCAUUGUUUGUUUAUACAUAGAGAUCUCAGCGUUCAGUGGUCAUGUUUUCCUUUUUCAACAAAGAUUGAGUAUUUCAUAUUGAUGCUUGAACAUACUGUAGAUAUUGGAAGAACUGCUUGCACGAGACAAUUGUAGCUGCCCAAUUUCAACCUGCUGUAGAAUCCUAUGGUUGGCCACACUUAGCUUUUUCUAGAGUUGAAAAGUCGAAGCUUUAUUUCAUCAUUCAUUACCGAGUGAACUUCAACGUUUGUAAUAAAGUGAAAAAAAUGCAGAACUAUGGCCGAUCCGAGUACCACACAUUACACAAUGAACGCGAUGCUUCACAAAGAUUUAAUUUCUUUCAAGUAGCAAUGAGUUCACCAUGCACAUGGAAAACUGGCAAGAAUUUACUUCAAAAUAAAUGUUUUCAAGAUAUAUAGGAGAGUGAUGAGACUCCGGUGAAAAGUGUUAUAGAAUGAACGUGAUGCUUCACAAGGAUUUAAUCUCUUCCAAGCAGCAAUGAGUUCAUCAUGCACAUGGAAAACUGGCAAGAAUUUAAUUCAAAGUAAAUGUUUUCAAGAUAUAUAGGAGAGUGAUAAGACUCCGGUGAAAAGUGUUUCAAGCCAUGGCCAUACGGAAUGGGUACACUCGGUAUUAGAGUACGGUGACUUUUCACCAGUAGAACACUAUGGGCGUGAUUGGUUGCCCGCGUCCCACCGUCCGCUGCAUGACCCCGAAGCAUCCCGUGCACUCUCGCGUGUUCGGUUUGCCUCCCGGAACUGAAACGGCGCAUGCGCCCGUUCAUUUCCCUCACUCCGUCCCGCAUCGCCCCAUCCGCCCAGAGGGCACCUUCUCUCGCGAGCCAGGACGGCGCGGUGCUGGCGGGAAGAUUUUCGGCGGAGGGCGGGAGAUGGCGCCGUACCGGGGCUAAAGGCGCGGGAGGUUACGGUGACCUCCCAUCCUCGCGCCAUUUUCUUCUCGCUCCCCUCCUCCCCGGUGCGCCUUCUCCUCUUCCUCCUCCUGUUCGCUCUCGGGUCGCCGGUGGCUCGAGGUACUCCGGCGGCGCCCUGUGCCCCCGGCGGUGCUGCGACGGUACAUCUCCCCCUCCUCUUUACGCUGCUUGAUCCCCUCUCCCCCGCUGAUCUGUCGAUUCGUCUUUUUUUGGUUGUUGUCGAUGAACCCUAGGCUAUUCUUCUGUCAGAUCCGUGCGCUCCUUUUGUGGAUUUAAGGUUGUGAUGAACCGUAGGUACUUUUUGUGAUGCAGAUCUAUGGUUCUCACAUGUGUAGAGGUCGAUCUGUUUUUUUGUUCGGUUCUUGUGUGGGUCGGGGUCCGGCGGCGGCACCCUGUGCCUCCGCCGGUCCUGCGACGGUACAUCUUGGUUGGUUUUCAUCCACCCUAUGUUGUUUGUGCAUCUGGCAUAUAUGGUUUUGAUGAACCCUAUGUUCGUUCUUAUGCGCAUCUAAGGUUGUCGUGUAUAUUUGUGGAUCUGAUUUCUUGAAUCCUGAAAUUGGGUAACUGCAUUGCAACCAAUGAGCCCCUAGUUAGCUGAGCAAAGUGCCUAGGUCGAUGAUGAUUCCUUGCCGCCGGAGGAGCACCUUCGGGUGUGGCAGCCGCGUCUAGGAUAUAAUGUAGUUCAGAAUGUUUGCUUGGUUAACAACAUGACCCCAAGUUUUUGUAUACUGAGCUCUAAUGAACACUGCAUUGUAUUGUUAGACAUGGACUUCCAAGGUAGGCGCCGGGCUGCGGCUGCUCUUGUUGCUGCUGUUGCUGCUUGGUUUUUCUUGUGGUUUAGAAGGAGAAGUGCUGAUGCUCGAUCUAUUACCUAUGGUCCCAUGGCAGAGAGGGACAGAGAGAGGAAUAGCAACCUCAGAUUCAUUUAUGAAUCUGAUGAUGUGCAUUGUGUCAACCUGCUAAGAAUGAGAAGGGCACCUUUUUUCCAACUGUGUGACCUGUUUAGGUCUAGAGAGUUGGUUGUGGAUAGCAUCCAUGCCACUGUUGAAGAACAGGUAGCAAUGUUCUUGCAUGUAGUUGGACACAACCAAAGGUUCAGGGUCAUUAACAUGACAUUUAGGAGGUCAAUUGAAACUAUUAGUAGGUUCUUUCAUCAAGUCUUGUAUGCAGUUGGUGAGUUGAGAAAUGAGUUGAUUGUUCCACCAUCCACUAGUGUCCAUCCUAGGAUCCUUGGCAGCAGGAGAUGGAACCCAUAUUUCAAGGUUGGUGGCCCUUUCCUAAUUGCAACCCAAUUGACCUGACCAAUAUGGUACCAACCUGUUAAUAUGGCUUUUUAUUUUUAGGAUUGCAUAGGAGCAAUUGAUGGGACACAUGUCUUAGCUAGAGUGCCUUUGAAGAUGCAAGCUGCCUUUAGAGGCAGGAAGCACACCAUCACUCAGAAUGUACUUGCAGCAGUGGACUUUGAUCUAAGGUUCACAUAUGUGCUUGCUGGUUGGGAGGGAUCUGCACAUGAUGCUCUGAUUUUAUCAGAUGCUCUUGAAAGGGCAGAUGGUCUUACAGUCCCACAAGGUACCAUAACUCACAUACACACAUGGCAACAAUACUUAGGCAUGGAGUAAACUGAUAAACCAUCUCCAUUUGUUACGUUGUCUAGGGAAAUUCUAUCUUGUGGAUGCUGGAUAUGCAGCCAGGCCUGGGUUCCUGCCACCAUAUCGUGGUACAAGGUACCACCUGAGGGAGUUUGGUUCAAAUAGGCCACAAAAUCAAAGGGAGUUGUUUAACCUGAGGCAUUCUUCCCUUAGGGUGACAGUAGAGAGGGCCUUUGGUGCUUUAAAGAAUAGGUUCAGAAUCCUUGAUAACAAGCCUUUCCAUCCUUACAAAACCCAAGUUAAGUUGGUUCUUGCCUGUUGUAUUCUGCACAAUUGGAUACUUAGGCAUGGAGAAGAUGAACAUGUUCCCACUGAAGCAAUUUGGACUCCUAACUCAACUGAUACCCCCCCUGAGCCAGAACUUAGUGCUGAUAAUGGAACCUGGGCACAGCAAAGGGAUGAAUGGGCUGCACAAAUGUGGCAGAAUAGGGGAUCUUCUAGAGUUUAAUUGCACUUAACUAUUUGGGGUCAUGUACUGUUAACUAGCAUUGAUGAAUUUGUAAUAUGGUCUGAGACCUUGGUACUUUGCUAUGAUGUGUAACUGCAAUCAUGAACAAUACAACUUGGUAUGAUAUUUGAAUGCAGUACUUACUUUCAUGUUUGAUUUCUAAGUGCUUUGGUGUUUGUUUUUGUUAUGGUAUGAUGGUUAGGACAUGGCUGUGAUGGGUGAGGAUGUGGUUGGUGUUGUCAAUGAGGCAGGGGCCGAGGGUGGGGUGGCUGCUGUGGAGGAAGUGUUCCCAGCAGCCCCUCCACCCAAUGGACCCCAGCCUGGGGGGCCAAUGCAAUGGACCAGUGUUCAGUCAGCCUUCAUGCUUAGGAGGUUUCAUGAUCUGGUUGGGCAAGGGGUCAAAACUGACAAAGGCUUCAAGGAAGUGCAUGUUAGGCAAGUUGCUAGGAUGGUUUCUGAUUUUGCUGAGGUGAAUGUUACCACCAACCAAAUUUAUAACCACCUACGCAAAUGGAGACAGAGGUGGGUUAAGAUUGCUAGGCUCAAGGACCUCAGUGGUGCUCUCUGGAAUGAGGACCUUCAUAUGAUAGUCCUUGAGGAGGAGCAUCUGAUAGGACACACUAAGGUUAGGCCACAGCUUACAUAUACCUCACUGUUAUGAUUAAUAGCUACCCUUAUCUCUAACUGUUGCACAACCUUUUGCCCAACUAGGAUCAUCCUGCUGAUGCCAAGUUCUUGAACACCCCAAUUGAGAACUAUGUCCAAAUGGAGGCCAUUUUUGGGUCUAGUCAGGCUACUGGUAGGUUUGCCAUGGGUUCCAAUGAACCUUUAGGUGUACCUACUGACCUUGGACACCUUGAGGGGGAGGAUCUUGCAACAGAGACAAUUACUUUAGAUGGGAAUGAGGGUGACUCUGGUAAGAAAAAUGUAGGUUCCAAUGGCCUGGACACCUCUAAGAGUUCUGAUGAUAAAGAAGGGAGAGGUGGUAAAAGGAGGAAGUUGGGUGAGGAAGAAUACCAGCUGAUGCAUGGUAUGACUGUUGCUGUUGCCUCUGUUGCAGAAGCCCUCAAAGCUCCCCAGCACAAUGAGGUCCAUGCAGAUCUCUAUGGUUGUGUCAUGUCCUGUCCUGGGUACACACAGGAGGCCUUGAUGUUUGCUCUUGUGUACUUGCUCAAGAACAAAGCAGAAGGCCUAUGCUUUGUUCAGAUGAGUGAAGCCCAUAGGAUCCUUUGGCUUAGGACCUACCUGAGCCAAUCUAACUUCCUCUAGGUGGAUGUGGACUGUUAUGUGUUAUUUUGCUUGCCUAUGCUGUAGUCUGACAUUUUGGGUGAGCACUAACCACUGAUGGUGAGGGUAGGGACACCAUUUGGGAUAUUUGCAUUGCUGCAAAUAUUUUUGUAUAGCAUAGGCUACAUGCUUCCAUCUGCUAAAGGUGGUUUGGAGGGAUCUGUUGGGUGUGUAAACAUGAACACCUACACCUGGUCAAUGUGAUGGAUGCCAAGUCUUUCAUCUUGGAUACAUGAUCUGAUUUCAUGGAUGCAUAUGUUGUUCUUGUUCUUCUUAUUAAGAACUGCUACAUGGUAAGUCCAUCUUAUUUUCAUCCUUUCCUGUAUGAUGGUUGCUUCCUUCUGCCUUGAUGGUUACUUUUGUUAUUUAAGGUAAGAAAAAAUGCCUAUGAUGACAAACUUAUUUGCCCAAUUAGAAGUAUAUGGGUAUCAUCAGAUGACCUUGAGCUUGUGAGGGACUAUGACAUUGAUCUUGUGAUUCUUGUUCCUUAUGGUUGUGUUAUUCCUGAGCUGUUGUCCAUGUUGUGCUACUGCUGUUUUUUGUGUUCUCUGUGCUAUAUUUCCUGUUGCCAUUGUGCUACUGUUUUUGGUCUUAUGUUGGUCUUGUGUCACUGAUGCUCCAAGCUCAGGGUCAAGGGAAGAUGAAAAUAACAUCUGAGGCCAAUUCUUUUGUCACUUAGCAUAUCAGACUUGCUACUUGUUCAUUUUUUGUAGUUGUCCUGUUCAUGAUAAAUUAUUUUCCCCUUGGGUUGAUGCAUAUGACCUUGAGCUUCUGACUGACUAUGCCAUUGUUCUUGUUAUUUUUACCUGCUACUGCUUCUGCAUACCUGGUAAGUCCAUAUUUUCAGCAUGAAUCCUAUUUGUUGGUUGCUUCCUUCUGCCUUGUUGGUUACUUAUGUUAUUUAAGGUAAGACAAAAUGCCUAUGAUGACACACUUAUUUGCCCAAUUAAAACUAUAUGGAUAGCAUCAGAUGACCUGAGCUUGUGAGGGACCAUGACAUUGAUGUUGCUGUUGUUGUUGCCAACUAGUACUGCAUGUUGUUCCUGUUGCCAUUCUGGUCUUAUUUUGGUCUGGUGCAUUUCUGAUUUCUGCUGACCUUGCUGCUGUUCCUGUUGCCAUUCUGUUACUGGUUUUGGUCUUAUUUUCAACCUGUGUCACUCCUGCAAGAGUGCACGGGAUGCUUCGGGGUCAUGCAGCGGACGGUGGGACCUUUGCAACCAAUCACGCCCAUACACCUACACAUUGGAUAAUAUGCAUAUGGGGUUACCUGUCAUGGUUACCUGACCAAUUUGAUGUUGUUGCACCUAUCCCUUGGUUCUGCUCUUUUUCUUGGCAAUGUCCUGCUGUUUCCAUUGCCAUUGACCUACUGUUUCUGCUCUGCUAUUUAUCUACUGUCUUGAUGGUUACUUAUUUUAUUUAAGGUAAGGCAAAAUGCCUAUGAUGACAAACUUAUUUGCCCAAUUAAAACUAUAUGGGUAGCAUAAGAUGACCUUGAGCUUGUGAGGGACCAUGACAUUGAUGUUGUUGUUCUUGUUGCCAACUAGUAGUGCAUGUUCCUUACUUAUGCUUGUGCUGUUCCUUAGCUAUUGUCCAUUGUGCCUAUGCUGUUAUUUCUGGUGACAUUGCUAUUGUUUCUGUUGCCAUUCUGCUACUGUUAUUGGUCUUAUUUUCCUGUUCUGUCACUGAUGCUCCAACCUCAAGAUCAAGUGGAGUUGAAUUACAUCUGCGGCUAUUUUUUUUAUAACUUACUAUAUCAGACUUGCUAGUUUACAGACAUAUACCUAUGCAAAUUGGAUAAUAUGCAUAUGGAGUUACCUAUCUUGGUUACCCAAGCAAUUUGAUGUUGUUGCCACCUAUCCCUUGGUACUGCUUGUCCAAACUUCUGUUGUUUCUCAGAUGCUGUCCUGGGAUGGAUGCUCAAAGGUUGCUAUUUCUGUUGGUAGUCCUAGGAUGGUUUCUGUUGCCUCUGUUGCAAACUGGGUAACCUGUCAUGCAGAUGGUCAUAUUGUUUUUGUUGUCGACCUCUUUGGUACUGCUUGAUCUUGGUUUUUUCUGGUUGUGCUGUUGUCAUACUUGUCAUUCUGUUGCUUUUCUGUUGCCACUGUCUUACUAUUUGUGGUCUCCAAUUCAUCUAGUUGUCAUACUGUCAUUCUGUUCCACUUUUUGUUUUCUCAUUCAUCUGUUGCUGCAAUUGAAUCAAGUUUCAUUUUGUUCCUCUUUGGUACUGCUUGAUCUUGGUUUUUUUUGGUUGUGCUGUUGUCUUACUAAUUGUGGUCUGCAAUUCAUCUAGUGUCACUGAUGCUCCAAGCUCAAGGUUAAGAGAAGAUGCAAAUAACAUCUGAGGCCAAUAGUUUAAUUUCCACCUUUUGUUUUCUCAUUCAUCUGUUGCUGCAAUUGAAUCAAGUUUCAUUUUGUUCCUCUUUGGUACUGCUUGAUCUUGGUUUUUUCUGGUUGUGCUGUUGUCUUACUAAUUGUGGUCUGCAAUUCAUCUAGUGUCACUGAUGCUCCAAGCUCAAGGUUAAGAGAAGAUGCAAAUAACAUCUGAGGCCAAUAGUUUAAUUUCCACUUUUUGUUUUCUCAUUCAUCUGUUGCUGCAAUUGAAUCAAGUUUCAUUUUGUUCCUAAGGCACAAUGGCUUGGUACGUUGUGUACCGUGGUAGGAAACCUGGAGUCUAUGCAACUUGGGUAACCUGUCAUCAGCAGGUCACCGGUUAUCCAAACUGUUGCUAUAAGAGUUUUAGUUCGAAAGAGGAGGCAAUUGCAUCUUUUCUAGAGUGCACUGGUGACGGAGAUGUCGAUAUCAAAGAAGCGACCGACGGUUCAAAAAACACGGCAACUGAAGUUAGUUGGGUCCAUAUCGUAGCCGGGCUACAAUUUAUAAUUAUUAUUGUACUCCUACUACUAAUCUAUUAUCUUUGGAAGUAGUCAAGCACGAGAUUAGCCUUUGUAAUAUUAAAACAUCUCAUGUUCAUCUCAUUGUUGGUAACCUCACCAAUAUGGUGCUAGGGUGCUCCGACCUCAUCCUGUUCUCUGUACCAAACACAAGCUAGUGACUCCUGUCGUACACGAGAGCGAUACAACCAGAACAACCAAACACAACCUCGCAUGAUUCAGGACGACAGCAAAAUGCAACCAAACAAACCUCCCUGUAUCACUCUAUUCCGUCUCCCACGAUUCAGAACAACCGGUCCAUUCUGGACGGUCCGGACCGGAGCAACCAAUCACGCCCUAUGUUCCAUUCCUAGUGGUAAACUGUAGGUUCAGGAGGCAUCUAGGAUUGAACAAUCCCAUCGCUCUUCGGAUCCGCUACUUCGCCAACGUAUCAAGGAUCCAUGGACCGUUCUUCCUCUGCAACAAAGACAACUCAGCUAAGAUGCAUUGUAUUCCUGGCCUGUUCCUAAAAAAGAUGCAGAUGAAGUGUACACGAGUAGAAAACUGGCCUCUCAUCCCUAGCCUUAGUACUGGUUGCAUUUGGAACCGGUACUAAUGCUAACCGAUUCCAAAGGAUACUGCCGGGAGGGCACCCCCGAUGACCCCUUUAGUACCGGUUGCUGUCUCAAACCGGUACUAAUGCUCCACGCACUAUUUAGUACCGGUUGGUGGCAUCAACCGGUAAUACCCUCUAGUACGGGUUGAUGCCAGAACCUGGUACUACUGCAGCACUAUGGAGAAGAGGAGGGAAAUGGAUCGCGGAGGGAAAAAACGAACCAAGGCGGGAGUGAAGGAAGAAGGGAGAGAGGGAAGGGAAAAGAAGAAUUGAAGGAAGGAUGAACAAAAGCGCGCGGGGGGGAAGGGAAACUAUUCAUUCAUUUACCGCCAAUCACCGCUCCCACGCUCGUUACUGCUGCUCCAUUUCCACCAACCAGUUUCUCAACUGGGCUGGGCUGGGAAUGCUUGCGCAUGGUAUGGACCGGCCCUAAAAUGGUAAGGUUGCUGGUAGGUCGCCUUCCUCGUCGUCUUGGACAUUUCUGAUGGGGAUCAAAGUUAGAAGUAACUGAGCACCUGGAGACUCAUGUCUAGAUAAUGUCAUCCGGAAAGAUUUUCUAGAUGAUGAAGCUAAGGAAGAGGAUGAUAGUGAUAAUGACAUGAUGAGAUUUAUGGAUGGCGAUGAGGAUGAUGAAAGGGAUGAAAAUGAAGUUUUUAAUGAUCUGAUAGCAGUUGGCAAAAAAAUGGUUGUAAAGAUGUUUGCAGAUGAUAAUGAUACUUGUGAGCACUUUGAUGAUGAAGAGAUAGAGGAACAUUUGGCCCGUCAACGUAUUUCAAAGUACCACGUCAAAUCACACUCGAGACCUCUCACCAACUCUUACACCACUUUCCAAAGGCAAAUCAGCUUAUCACAUGGUAGUGUCUUUGAAACAUGUUUAGGGCACAACACAUUACGUUUAUCAUCUUUUGCACAACAACAAAUGUGACCUUUGGAAGAUAGCCCUCCUCUAAACUUGCACAACAACAUGAAGUACUUGCUGAACUUGCACACUGUGUUCAUCUCGGCGAGCUCAUGAAGUACUAGAGUGCGGUGUGCUUACCAUGAACACCUCAACCUCAAAAGGCAUGAAGCAGAUGCCACCACUUUUCAAAGGCAAAUCAGCUUAUCACAUGGUAGUGUCUUUGAAACAUGUUUAGGGCACAACACAUUAUGUUUAUUAUCUUUUGCACAACAACAAAUGUGACCUUUGGAAGAUAGCCCUCCUCUAAAUUUGCACAACAACAUGAAGUGCUUGCUGAACUUGCACACCGUGUUCAUCUCAGUGAGCUCAUGAAGUACUAGGGUGCGUUGUGCUUACCAUGAACACCUCAGCCUCAAAAGGCAUGAAGUAGAUGCCCACCACUUUCCAAAGGCAAAUCAGCUUAUCACAUGGUAGUGUCUUUGAAGUAUGCUGGGACUUUGAGGCUAACAUUGUUGACAACUUGGAGUUAGAAAUCAGGUGUUCUUCAAGACUGAGAUGUGCAAGAUGUGGACUCCAGGGAGCAGCCCUUGGUUGUUAUUAUGAACAUUGCAGAAAGAGUUUUCACGUUCCAUGUGCAAUUCAAAUAAUUGAUUGCCAUUGGGAUGUUGUAAGCUCCUUUUGACUUGGACAUUUCUGAUGGGGAUCAGAAGUCAGAAGUAACUAAGCACUUGGAGACUCAUGUCCAGAUAAUGCCAUCUUGAAAGAUUUCUAGAUGAUGAAGCUGAGGAAGAGGAGGAUAGUCAUAAUAACAUGAUGAGAUUUACGGAUGACGAUGAGGAUGAUGGAAGUGAUGAAAAUGAGGUUUUUAAUGGUCCAAUAGCAGUUGGCAAAACAAAUGAUUGCAAAGAUACUUGUAGAUGAUAAUGAUACUUAUGAGCACUCUGAUGAUGAAGAGAUAGAGGAACAUUUGGCCCGUCAACAUAUUUCAAAGUACCACGUCAAAACGCACUUAUGACCUCUCACCAACUCCCCGCACCACUUUCCAAAGGCAAAUCAACUUAUCACAUGGUAGUUAUCAUCUUUUGCACAACAACAAAUAUGACCUUUGGAAGAUAGCCCUCCUCUAAACUUGCACAACAACAUGAAGUGCUUGCUAAACUUGCACACCAUGUUCAUCUCGGCGAGCUCAUGAUAUUUAGAUAUUAAAGUUCAUGCGAUCAAUAUCUGUAUUCUCUUCUUUGUAAUUAUUCACUAAUCUUGAUUUUUUACGUUGUAUUUCGUGACUCUAGUCAGCAUUCAGGUGAGGAAGAAAUUUCUAAGAAUCAUGAAAGCGAUGAUCAACGAACACAUAAGCGUAACAUCAAUUUUUUUCAUUUUUCCAUUUUUGCACAAACUGAGAUUUUUGUAUGGAGCAUCACAAAUUUAGAUAUUUUGCACAAACUUAGAUAUUUUGUAUGAACCUGUAACCUAUAUAGCUUCGUCACCAUGAACUCAUUUUCAGUGAAACAUAUCUGAUAAAAAAUAAUUAUCAGUGAAAGAAUAAUCUUCUUAUGAACAUUGUUUCAAUUAAGUAGAAAACAAAAAAUAUGAUAGUAGAAAAGAAGAAGGGAGGAACAAAAGCUUUCUACAAAGAUGUCCACAAUGAAAUGAGUUCUUUUUGGUGAGAAGUGAACAAGCAAAUGCUGAGAGGGCAAAUCACUUUCCUGAUUUCCCUAUACACGAAAUUGCCGCAAAAUGUUAGAGGAAAAUAAUUUUGGGCAUGCAUGGAUCUUUCAGUCGAGAAUUACCUUCAAAAAAUAUCAAACUUAAAAUAAUAAUGUGGCUGAGAUACAGCAGUGUUAAUUAUGUUGAAGGAGAAAAACAGGGUCCAGGCAGUGUGCUAUAUGCAUCCACUAAUUAGUACUCAUGAACGUUAAGGUUUACCAAACGAAGAAAGGACAGUAUUGCAAAAUAAAUUAUGAAGGUACCAAAUCGCAGCAAGACACGUGCUGUUGUACCUGACAUCAAAUUGUUAGCAUUUACACGGCCACUGCAGCUUGAUUGCUCGAAUCGAAAAAUCAUGAUCUUAAAAGGCAUCCUCGCCAUAUAUAGAGAGCUGAGAGUAAGUGUCCAUCUGGCAAAGAAUUAACAAAGUGCGAAACCAUAUAGAGACGGAGGCAUACACCGAAUUGAAGAGAAGUGCCUCGCUCAAGGGGAAGGCCUCUAGCGGUGUGUUUGGUACCGGGGACAGGAUGGGACGGGAUAGGACGAUCCCAAAUUUGAUGGUGUUUGGUUCGGAGUCACGAGGGAUGGGACGAUCGAGAAAUGGGAAUAUGCUGUGAAAAUGCGGGAUGACCCCGUCUGGCCAAAAUAAGCGGAUGGGGUCAUCCAACUUCGGGGCCGUCUAGCUCCGUCCUUCUCCGUCUUCGCUUGAGACUGGCGCGCUGGGGCUGGAAGCACGAGCAAGAUGAGAAGCUCCAGCACGGCGAGAGGAGCUCGGCUGGACUCCACGAGUGGGGUGGCAGGGGCCCAAGGCCGGCGAGGGCGGGAUCCUCUGGCGGCGCGGCCUGGGCCCAAGGCUGGCAGGGGUGGGGUCCUCCGACGGCGUGGCCGGUGCCCAAGGCCAGCGGGGCGAGCACCCCAAGCAGCGCGGCCGACGGCGCGCUACCCAGGGCCGGCAGGGUCCUCCGGCGAUGCAGCCGGUGCCCAGGGCCAGCGGGGCGAGCGCCCCAAACAACGCGGCUGGCGGCGCGCUGCCCAGGACCAGCAGGGCAAGCUCCCCCGGCGCCACGGCUGGUGCCCAGGCGGCGCUUCCGGCGCCCAUGGGAGGUCGGGCGAGCUCCCCAGGUGGGGGUGAGCUCAUGAGGAAGAAGAUUAGAGUGACAGGUGAGGACCACUGACGGUGGCUAACAGAAGGAAAAAACGGUGCUCAUCCCACGUACUGCAGUGCCUCUAACCAAAUAAAAAAUCGGGACGAAUCCAUCCGUAUGAAACAAACACGAGUCGGGAUGAUCCCAUCCAAAAAACUGAAACGGGACCGACCCAUCCUAUCUCGUCUCCAAACCAAAUACACCCUUAAGUGAUGGAGCAAAUAAUGCUCACGCACAACCGCGCGCAACAGUGUACUGCCAAAGUGUCCGAGCUCAAUAGGAAGGAUGUGCUGGAUGCCCAUUAGGCCCCAGGUUGAAGUGCAUCUAGGAUUGGGAGGUACAUGGAUUCAAAACUACGUCGUGAUUGUGUAAGCAUCAGGCCAUACAAAUUUCAUGCGCUCGAUCAACAAGGCGUACUGUGUUGCUGAUGGUCAGCCGCUCUGAGAGUGAAAAGUUUGAUGCAUCAUUGUUUUCAUGAAAAUUUAACAUGAACUUAUCAAUCACGUGUUAUAUGCACACACCAUUCUCUGAAGUCUAAAUAUUAAACGAGUUCGCUUUGGUGAAUUGAACAAAAUGCUGGAAGCGGAGAAUCAUCUCGACAAAAAAAAAA